UACAGAGGUGGCAAGCGUUGUUCGGAAUUACUGGGCGUAAAGGGCGCGUAGGCGGCCUUCUAAGUCAGACGUGAAAUCCCCCGGCUUAACCUGGGAACUGCGUCUGAUACUGGGAGGCUUGAGUAUGGGAGAGGGAUGUAGAAUUCCAGGUGUAGCGGUGAAAUGCGUAGAUAUCUGGAGGAACACCGGUGGCGAAGGCGGCGUCCUGGACCAACACUGACACUGAUGAGCGAAAGCCAGGGGAGCAAACGGG
rnacentral:rRNA from 1 species